GUUUUAUUUUAAACCAUUCAUGUGAUAUCCUUCUGAUUGUUUAAUCUUCCAAUAGCAAGACGCGGUAUGGGAUCAAAAGGACAGAAGAUAUCGAUUUUAACUAAUCCUUUUAAUGGUGUCUUUUGCUUAUGAAGAUGGACGCACUAUGGAAGGUAAGUGUUGGGAGGAAGAUAAUGGACCAGGUGCAAGAGACAUAUGCUUCUGACAUGAAUGGCAAGGAAUUUGCAUAUGAAGGGGAUACAAGUCUAUUUAUUAUCGACUCUCAUUCUCAAAACAAGCUUAAGUUUGAGAUUGUUUUAGAGGAGGCUAGAUCUAACAGACAAGCUAUCACCGCCACUCCACCUUGCUAUAUCUGCUGUUGUUAUUGCUUACACUGUAGCUGCCAAAGUUCCAGUUAUAUGAUCAAUCAAAGCCUAUUUUUACGUGUCUUCGGUUUCUAACGCGACUAAAAUAGAGAAGUGUCAGGUAGAACCGGAAAAAUUCCGUCCAUAUAAUAUAACCAACCUUAUAUGAUUCUAAUGGAGCCUAAUGAGUGAGAAAUAACAUCUACUGUACGUGAUUAAUUCUUUGAUAUCAGAUGGUUGUUUUUAAUCAAGUGCAUGCCAAAGGUAAAAAAAUAUAUCUAUCUGCUCAACUUCUUUUAACACGACUUACAUGAAUCCGUGUUGUCACAUUUACAAUCACUUUUCAGGAUACCAUGAUAA